rnacentral:rRNA from 1 species
GUUGUUCGGAAUUACUGGGCGUAAAGCGCGUGUAGGCGGCUCGGCAAGUCGGGUGUGAAAGCCCUGGGCUUAACCUAGGAAGUGCACUCGAAACUGCCAAGCUUGAGUUCUGGAGAGGAAGGCGGAAUUCUCGGUGUAGAGGUGAAAUUCGUAGAUAUCGAGAGGAACACCGGUGGCGAAGGCGGACUUCUGGACAGCAACUGACGCUGAGACGCGACAGCGUGGGGAGCAAACAGG